rnacentral:rRNA from 1 species
AUUGAACGCUGGCGGCAGGCCUAACACAUGCAAGUCGAGCGGAUGAAGGGAGCUUGCUCCUGGAUUCAGCGGCGGACGGGUGAGUAAUGCCUAGGAAUCUGCCUGGUAGUGGGGAUAACGUCCGGAAACGGGCGCUAAUACCGCAUACGUCCUGAGGGAGAAAGUGGGGGAUCUUCGGACCUCACGCUAUCAGAUGAGCCUAGGUCGGAUUAGCUAGUUGGUGGGGUAAAGGCCUACCAAGGCGACGAUCCGUAACUGGUCUGAGAGGAUGAUCAGUCACACCGGGACUGAGAAAAGGUCCAGACUCCUACGGGAGGCAGCAGUGGUGAAUAUUGGACAAUGGGCGAAAGCCUGAUCCAGCCAUGCCGCGUGUGUGAAGAAGGUCUUCGGAUUGUAAAGCACUUUAAGUUGGGAGGAAGGGCAGUAAGUUAAUACCUUGCUGUUUUGACGUUACCAACAGAAUAAGCACCGGCUAACUUCGUG